UGGGGAAUUUUGGACAAUGGGCGAAAGCCUGAUCCAGCCAUGCCGCGUGCAGGAUGAAGGCCUUCGGGUUGUAAACUGCUUUUGUACGGAACGAAACGGUCUUUUCUAAUACAGAAGGCUAAUGACGGUACCGUAAGAAUAAGCACCGGCUAACUACGUGCCAGCAGCCGCGGUAAUACGUAGGGUGCAAGCGUUAAUCGGAAUUACUGGGCGUAAAGCGUGCGCAGGCGGUUAUGUAAGACAGUUGUGAAAUCCCCGGGCUCAACCUGGGAACUGCAUCUGUGACUGCAUAGCUAGAGUACGGUAGAGGGGGAUGGAAUUCCGCGUGUAGCAGUGAAAUGCGUAGAUAUGCGGAGGAACACCAGUGGCGAAGGCGGCUAACUGGUCCGGUACUGACGCUGAGGUGCGAAAGCGUGGGGAGCAAACAGGAUUAGAUACCCACGUAGUCCCUGAGCGGGC
rnacentral:rRNA from 1 species